rnacentral:lncRNA from 1 species
AGGGGAGUCUGACCUUGUGAGGGAAUACCUGUGUCCCCCCUUUUUUCCCCUUUUUACCCAAUAAAACCCUGCCUUACUCACCCUUUAAAUCAUCUGCGAGCCUGAAUUUUCAUGGCCGUGGGACGGACAAGAACUUUAUCUUCAGCUGAACUAAGAAAAAGUCCUGCAACAUUUUUGGCGCGCAAUGUGGGGGCACCAGAAGCGGGCACCGUUGAGCUGUUGCAACUGUUCUGCUGGAGCCUUAUGUAUGUGGUUGAAACCACCUGUACUACUGGAAUGAAAGCACCUUUACAGAAGAGGCAAUGCAAGUUGUAUUCAUCACAUGUGUAGAAUGAAUUAAGAUUUAUGCCAGUUGCAAAGAAGAAUAUUGGCUCACUAUUUUUCCUCUGGGCAUGUGGAAAUGUAAAUCAGUCCAUGUUACUCACCUCGGAGAAGCAGAAGUACGAUUUACUAUUGUUGCUUGCUUACUUACUCUUAUCAAUUUCUAUGAGAGCUCCCCUCUCCACUGAGGGCUGAUUUCAUCACUCAACAAAAUUCUCCGAAUUCACCAUCCUUCAGUUCAUCCACAUGACCUCAUUCCUCUUGGGCACCGGACAAGAAUUUGGGAUGCACCAAAUGCAGGGGUACAAGCAAUUUUCCAGUCUUGACCCUUUAUCUGUUGACCAAGCUAAGGCAGAAACCAGCUAAAUUCUGGAUUUAAUCUUGAGCAGCAAAAAAGAUCAGCUUUUGAAGUGGAUCUGCUUUUAUUCUUGGCAAAAGUUCAGCGGAGACCAACCAGAGUGGUGACAAAGUUCUUCAACAUCAAGCCAAAUAAAGAGACCUCAAGUAAACCUCCAGCAGCCAUCUGGACUUCCAUGAAAACAGAACAAUCAGUGAGAUGCAGAGCUUGGAGGAGACAGUUUCCAUAGACUGAAGCACGUGCUGAAGCAAAGUUCACACUUGCAGGAUUAGAAGAGGUUGACCGAAAGAAGGAAGGACAUGGACAGCUAUGUUGUUGUGGAGUCCUGUUUUAUAGUCAUAACCUUGAGUCAAGUGAGUUUGUCUGGACAGACAGAGCUUGUUGCCUUUACUUAUAGGGAAGGCACCGGACACAGACAGCCUCAAGGACAUUUGUUCUAGCCUUUCAGUAUCCUUUCUCUUAAUUAUCUCACCUCAUCCAUGAAGCUGGUAUGUACGAUUUUUCCUUUCUUUCUCAAUCCUUUAAAAAAUUAAAGCUCUAAAUCUCAUUUCCACUUAGAUUUUAAUGUUGCAUUGUAACUUAAGAUAAAACCUUGCUCUGAUGUUAAAAAUACUAAAGUAAGAAGCAAUAUGGCAUAGUGCUUAUGAGCAGGACUACAUAGUUCUUUCUGAAUACAAAUCUCAGAUAAAACACUAUCUCAGUGAUCAACCAGGUUAAGCAACCUUUUUAGUGCCUCAAUUAUUCCAUUUGUAAAAUUGUAAUAAUGAUAGUACUAACCUAUAAGAUUGUGGUGAGGAUUAAGUCAGAUAAUACAAAAGAAGCAUUUAGAGUAUUUCCUGGCAUUAUCUACCAUUUAUUGAAUUUUUAUGGUUAAGAAGAAUAAGGAAAAGCAGAAGAAAAGGAAAAGAGAAAAAAUACAUAAGAAGAAGGAAGAGUGGUAAGCUCUAGUAAAUUACAACAAACGGUAACGUAGAAAACAUUUGUUAGCCCUUAAUAUAGGCCAGGCACUGUGUUCAAUGCUUAAACCUCAUUACUGUUCUUUGAAGUGGAUAACAUUAUUCCUUCCAUUUUAAAGAAAGGAAUACUAAAGACAACUUUGUCAAUAUUAUUCAUGUAAUAAAUGACAGAAUUUGACCAAGACAAUAGAGAA